CCUACGGGUGACAGCAGUGAGGAAUAUUGGUCAAUGGACGGAAGUCUGAACCAGCCAAGUAGCGUGAAGGAUGACUGCCCUAUGGGUUGUAAACUUCUUUUAUAUGGGAAUAAAAUGCUUCACGUGUGGGAUUUUGUCUGUACCAUAUGAAUAAGGAUCGGCUAACUCCGUGCCAGCAGCCGCGGUAAUACGGAGGAUCCGAGCGUUAUCCGGAUUUAUUGGGUUUAAAGGGGGCGUAGGUGGCGUGUUAAGUCAGGUGUGAAAGUUUGGGGCUCAACCGUAAAAAUGCAUUUGAAACUGGCAGGCUAGAGUACAGUAGAGGUAGGCGGAAUUCGUUGUGUAGCGGUGAAAUGCAUAGAUAUAACGUAGAACACCGAUUGCGAAGGCAGUUCACUGGACUGCAACUGACACUGAUGCACGAGAGUAUGGGUAGCAAACAGGAUUAGAUACCCUGGUAGUC
rnacentral:rRNA from 1 species